rnacentral:tRNA from 1 species
UGGUGUAUAGCCAAAAUGGAAAGGCACUGGCUUUUGAUGUCAUCAUAUAAAGGUUCGAAUCCUUUUACACCAG